rnacentral:rRNA from 1 species
UGGGGAAUAUUGCACAAUGGGCGAAAGCCUGAUGCAGCAACGCCGCGUGAGUGAUGAAGGCCUUCGGGUUGUAAAGCUCUGUCUUCUGGGACGAUAAUGACGGUACCAGAGGAGGAAGCCACGGCUAACUACGUGCCAGCAGCCGCGGUAAUACGUAGGGGGCAAGCGUUGUCCGGAUUUACUGGGUGUAAAGGGCGCGCAGGCGGGAUAAAAAGUCAGUGGUGAAAUCCUACAGCUUAACUGUAGAACUGCCUUUGAUACUUUUAUUCUUGAGUUCGGGAGAGNGAGACGGAAUUCCAGGUGUAGUGGUGAAAUACGUAGAUAUCUGGAAGAACACCAGUUGCGAAGGCGGUCUCUUGGUCCGACACUGACGCUGAGGCGCGAAAGCGUGGGGAGCAAACA